GCCUUUGGUCAAAUUACCCGGAAUGCGCCCCAUCUCGUCAGACCUCGGCAGCUUUGCAGAGUUGAGUCUGGAUAACACUUGGAUGGGUGACCACCACGAACUAACAGGCUGGCAUAAGCU
rnacentral:rRNA from 1 species